GCUGCUGGAAACUAAAAUUAGUGUCAGGAUGUAACACAUCAUUUGCAAUUCCCUAAUCACUCAUUUCAUCAAAUGAAUAAGCUGCCCUUCAGGACAGCUGGGGAACUACCCAGCUCCAGUAUCCCAUGAUACCAGGCAAGAGUCUCAAAGUGACAGCAGAGGAAGUGAGCACUUACUCUGGGUGCCUUCAGCUGCUGUGUACGAAGUUCCACUGUGCUGAGGCCACCGCAUGAAGAGGACACUUGGAUAGAGAGAAGUGCUCAAAGAGCUCCCCUGGUUUUGGCUCUCCCACAGGAGACUGUGGAGGUCAUUAGUGUCCUGUGGAUGUGGUUGGCUACUCUUGCAAGGCGUCUGCAAUUGCCCAAUGCCAUGCUCAACUUAAGGCUAUAGAGCAGGUUGUAGUUUCUAAAAAUGGCCACAAAAUGUUUUCCAUUCCACAUUCUCUUCCAGAACCUUGCCACUCCUCUAUUAAAAGGUAGAGUUCACAGUCUUUCCUGAGAACUUGGGUGGGCCUUUGUGCCUGCUCCCACUAAUUUAGCCUGGUGCAAUUGAUCCCAUCUCUUCUGAUGACUUCUGAGACUAGGUCUGCUUGGCCAUGGCUCUCUUGGGGGCAUUCACUCUGGGUGCCUUCAGCCACCAAGUACGAAGUCGGGUAACGUUGAGGCCACUGCAGAGAGAUGCCACAUGGAUAGAAAGAGAUGCUCAGAUUGCCCCACCUGUUCCAGUUCCCUGAUGCUCAGGUCUUCUCAGCCCAGAUGCCAGAUGGCUGAGUGAAAAAGCCUGUGGGAUCAUCCAGCUCCAGCCGCCAUGUAGGGGCCCAGGAGAAUCUGGAAGGCAAACAAUUCUUGCUCCUUCUCACUAUGGGACCUGUACUAGCCAACAGCACCAACCAAGGGAAAACACUCUUCUUAAUUUCCCUUAUAUAAACUCUCUAUGUAUAGAAACUUUACAAGAAUA